rnacentral:rRNA from 1 species
AGCAGCCGCGGUAAUUCCAGCUCCAAUAGCGUAUAUUAAAGUUGCUGCAGUUAAAAAGCUCGUAGUUGAAUUUCGGGACCAAUUUGUCGGUCGUGCUUCUGUACGUACUGGCAUUAUUGGUUUCUCCCUUCUGAAGAACCUUGAUGUCAUUAAUUUGGUGUCUUGGGGAAUCAGGACUGUUACUUUGAAAAAAUUAGAGUGUUUAAAGCAGGCUCGCGCUUGAAUACAUUAGCAUGGAAUAAUGAAAUAGGACGUUUGAUUCUAUUUUGUUGGUUUCUAGGAUCGACGUAAUGAUUAAUAGGGAUAGUUGGGGGCAUUAGUAUUCAAUUGUCAGAGGUGAAAUUCUUGGAUUUAUUGAAGACUAACUACUGCGAAAGCAUUUGCCAAGGAUGUUCUCAUUAAUCAAGAACGAAAGUUAGGGGAUCGAAGACGAUCAGAUACCGUCGUAGU